UACGGAGGGUGCGAGCGUUAUUCGGAAUUACUGGGCGUAAAGCGCGUGCAGGCGGUCUGGCAAGUCUGAUGUGAAAGCCCCGGGCUUAACCUGGGAAGAGCAUUGGAAACGGUCGGACUUGAGUACUGGAGAGGAAGGGAGAAUUCCCGGUGUAGAGGUGAAAUUCGUAGAGAUCGGGAGGAACACCAGUGGCGAAGGCGCCCUUCUGGACAGCUACUGACGCUGAGACGCGAAAGCGUGGGGAGCAAACAGG
rnacentral:rRNA from 1 species